AGUGUGUCGCAUACAGUCCGCUGAACACGGAUAUGGAUUUUGUGACCGACGGUUAUCGAGCGAACGGAAAUGCAAAAGCGCGCGUACAUAUGUAGACACAAAGUUACAACGAUAAAAUAACAAAAACACCUGUGUCCACUAACUAUAUAUACAUACGCGUAGAAAAAACGCUUUAAAACAUGGUGGAAAACUAAAUUUGUAUAUGAUAAAAAGUGGGGUUUAAAGCGUUCUGAGCCACAACUAGGCGGUGUCUAUUGAAAAGAAAGAAAGUGAAAAGAUCACGCGCAUACAAAAAAAAAGAAGAGAAUAAUAUAUAAUUGUGCAGUGCACAAAAGGCGACACAAAAAUUAAGUAAACUCCCUUACAGAGAAUUAUAGACAAGUCAAGUGAAUGUGUGUGCAUUUCUAUGCGCCCGAAAAGUGAAAUUUGUGUGAAAAUAGUGUUCAGCGCAAAGCAAAAAUAAUAUCGUCAGGAUACUUCCUACUCAGUGGAGUAUAGGGUGUGCCAGAAGCAAGUGACGAAAGAAAUCGAGUAGGGGCCUACUAUUUUGAAUGAUACAUGCAAUUUUGAGGACUAAGUAUUUACAUCCAAAA